CUUCCGAACUAUUUCAAUGAAGUUCGCGGGAAAUGCCGAAUUCCUGUUCGGCCGAGGUCACCAUCCUUAAUCUGAGGGUAACGGCUUCAAAUUCAAUUUCUCCCAAACCGCCAACUGAAGCAGAAGUGUCGCGCCUUUUUUGUCCGUGAUUCGUUUCUUGUUGAAGUUGUCAAGUUUGCUUAACAAACGUAGUGUGUGCGUUAGGAUCAGUUUUGUGCGUUUCUCGAAGAAAUUGUCCAGCUGACCGCUACGUUUGUCGCAGGCAACCGCGUCACACCGCCAUCGUUGGGACGAAAGAUUCCCGGCAUCCGUCGCCGGAGGGACCAACCCGUCAACACGUUGGUCCCAAUUCUAAUCGUGGUCGCCUAUUGCAACGCAUCGUCACUGAGAGGGAGUGCCGAGCGGCCUACGACCCCCCCCCCCUGUGGGUGAAUUGGCCACGUCACCAACGGCCAUUCAUCGCUGCGAACGCCGAUCGCUUUCCGCCGUCUACCAAGAGCGCAGCAGUACCGGUAGGCGAACAACAGUCGGUGAGUCAAGCGAUCUCUUUUUUGUCGAGUGGGGCGUCCGGUGAGG